rnacentral:rRNA from 1 species
UCUGGUGACAAUGGCAAAGAGGUCACACCUGUUCCCAUGCCGAACACAGAAGUUAAGCUCUUUAGCGCCGAUGGUAGUCGGACUUAAGUUCCGCGAGAGUAGGACGUUGCCAGGC